rnacentral:rRNA from 1 species
CGGAUUUGGAUGGGGGAGCCUGAUCAGCCUGCCGCGUGAGUGAUGAAGGCCUUCGGGUUGUAAAGCUCUUUCGGCCGGGACGAUGCGACGGUCCCAUACAGGAGGCCCCGGCUGGUUCCGGGCCAACAACCGCCGGCUUACUACGUGCCAGCAGCCGCGGUAAUAAGGGG